GGGGAUGAUCGGUUUCGACAGUGGUUGUCGAAGCAGGGGAAGCGAGCCGAGGAAGCGGCAAUGAUCUCGUAAACCAUAUGUCGCAAAAAAAUAAUCGCCAAUACCAAGCGCGAUUCCUUCGCCCUCGCUGCAUAAGUAGCGACUGGUGAGGUGCCAGCCCGGGCCUGUUCCCGUCCCGGUUCCUGGUAUCAGCUAGGGGACUUCACCGUUAGCCUCGGUCACGGAGGCUUGCGGGACAUUUAACAGUGACUGAGCCCGUCGGAGACUUGUCCGCGUGAUCUCCGGGGCCGAGAAAAUCGCAGCGGACUGCGCUCGGAGAAGCCCUCUUUCCACGUCACUGGACGCGGGUUCGAUUCCCGCCAUCUCCACUG
rfam:Streptomyces xiamenensis strain 318, complete genome.